rnacentral:rRNA from 1 species
GUAGGGAAUAUUGGGCAAUGGAUGCAAGUCUGACCCAGCCAUGCCGCGUGGAGGAAGAAGGUCCUCUGGAUUGUAAACUCCUUUUUUGGGGGAAGAAUAGUUCUCUUGCGAGGGAAUGUGACGGUACCCUAAGAAUAAGCCACGGCUAACUACGUGCCAGCAGCCGCGGUAAUACGUAGGUGGCAAGCGUUGUCCGGAUUUAUUGGGUUUAAAGGGUGCGUAGGUGGGUUGAUAAGUCAGUAGUGAAAGCUGGUUGCUAAACAAUCAAGUUGCCAUUGAUACUGUCGGACUUGAGAGAAGUAGAGGUUCAUGGAAUGGAUGGUGUAGCGGUGAAAUGCAUAGAUAUCAUCCAGAACGUCGAUUGCGAAGGCAGUGGGCUGUACUUUAUCUGACACUGAGGCACGAAAGUGUGGGGAUCAAACAGGAUUAGAUACCCCAGUAGUCC